AUUAGCAGCCAUACCAGCCUCAGGUUGUGAUCUGCUUUGAUCUCCUAAACUAAAAAGAGUUGAUCUUGGUUAACAUUUAGAUGGGAGACUGCCAUUGAAAUCCCAGAGUGCUGCAGGAA
rnacentral:rRNA from 1 species